GAUGAACGCUGGCGGCGUGCCUAACACAUGCAAGUCGAGCGAGAAGUUUGAAAAAUGAGUUUUCGAACAAGUGAUUCAAACGGAAAGCGGCGGACGGGUGAGUAACGCGUAGGCAACCUGCCCCGUGCAGAGGGACAGCCUCGGGAAACCGGGAUUAAGACCUCAUGAUAUCGGGUUAUCACAUGGUAAUCCGGUCAAAGAUUUAUCGGCAUGGGAUGGGCCUGCGACUGAUUAGCUGGUUGGUGGGGUAACGGCCUACCAAGGCGACGGUCAGUAGCAGAACUGAGAGGUUCAUCUGCCACAUUGGAACUGAGACACGGUCCAAACUCCUACGGGAGGCAGCAGUGAGGAAUAUUGCACAAUGGGCGAAAGCCUGAUGCAGCAACGCCGCGUGAGCGAAGAAGGCCUUUGGGUCGUAAAGCUCUGUCCUUGGGGAAGAAACAAAUGACGGUACCUUGAUAAGAAGCACCGGCUAACUACGUGCCAGCCGCCGCAGUAA
rnacentral:rRNA from 1 species